CGGCGGACGGGUGAGUAACACGUAGGUAACCUACCUAUAAGACUGGGAUAACUUCGGGAAACCGGAGCUAAUACCGGAUAAUAUUUCGAACCGCAUGGUUCGAUAGUGAAAGAUGGCUUUGCUAUCACUUAUAGAUGGACCUGCGCCGUAUUAGCUAGUUGGUAAGGUAACGGCUUACCAAGGCAACGAUACGUAGCCGACCUGAGAGGGUGAUCGGCCACACUGGAACUGAGACACGGUCCAG
rnacentral:rRNA from 2 species